ACUCCUACGGGAGGCAGCAGUGGGGAAUAUUGCACAAUGGGCGCAAGCCUGAUGCAGCGACGCCGCGUGGGGGAUGAAGGCCUUCGGGUUGUAAACCCCUUUCAGCAGGGAAGAAGCGCAAGUGACGGUACCUGCAGAAGAAGCGCCGGCUAACUACGUGCCAGCAGCCGCGGUAAUACGUAGGGCGCAAGCGUUGUCCGGAAUUAUUGGGCGUAAAGAGCUCGUAGGCGGUUUGUCGCGUCUGCUGUGAAAAUCCCGAGGCUCAACCUCGGGCCUGCAGUGGGUACGGGCAGACUAGAGUGUGGUAGGGGAGACUGGAAUUCCUGGUGUAGCGGUGGAAUGCGCAGAUAUCAGGAGGAACACCGAUGGCGAAGGCAGGUCUCUGGGCCACAACUGACGCUGAGGAGCGAAAGCGUGGGGAGCGAACAGGAUUAGAUACCCUGGUAGGCUCUGC
rnacentral:rRNA from 1 species